AGCUGCGUGCCGUGGCAGUAUUGUAGCCAAUUAGGUUUAUCUGAGGUGCGAUUAUUGCUAACUGAAAAUUUUUCCCAAUACCCUGCCAUGACGACUUGCAAUAAAGUCGGCACCGGCAAUUUCCAACCAUCUCUACCAUGA